GCAUGCAGGUGAGAAGGGAAGAUACGUGUAAUCUGCAUGUCUGCCAACAUUCCUUGUUACCCUUUUUCAUAUCCCAUGAACACAGCACUCCAGCGGACCUACCCAAAAUAUGUGGGAGUUCAGUGAAACUCAAACAGCAUGCUUCUGGUCAGCCUAUACAGUCUCUGUCCUGGUGAGGAGCAUGAUCACCAACAGGCAAGAUCUUCUGGCCUCGAAGUUUCGCUUGAGCUAAAAGAGCUCAUCUCAGGACUUUCUGAAUUUUCAGCCCAUAUGACAUGGAAGAAGAGUUAGAAGGGGAAUCUGACUGCUUGGAUCAGGGACUGUCUGGCUAGUGGAACUUGAAUAGAUGUACAGUGCACCACUUUGAGGAUCAAGUCUGACCCUGCCUUUAAAUUUGGAUUCAAAGUACUUAGAUUUUCUGGAAUCCCAUUCUACAAUCUUCUGGUCGAAAGUAUAAAACCAGUCUCUCAUUCCACCUUACGAGAAACACCCACAGGUGUGGAGGGGCAACCCACCCCUUCAUCUGGUGCCCAACGUGGAGGCUUUUCUCUAGGGUGAAGGUACGCUCGAGCGUGGUCAUUGAGGACAAGUCAACAAGAGAUCCCGAGUACAUCUACAGUCAGCCUUACGGUAAGCUUGUGCACUCGGAAGAAGCUAGGGUGACAAUGGGGCAAACUAAAAGUAAAACUAAAAGUAAAUAUGCCUCUUAUCUUAGCUUCAUUAAAAUUCUUUUAAAAAGAGGGGGAGUUAGAGUAUCCACCAAAAAUCUAAUCAAACUAUUUCAAACAAUAGAACAAUUUUGCCCAUGGUUUCCAGAACAAGGAACUUUAGAUCUAAAAGAUUGGAAAAGAAUUGGUAAGGAACUAAAACAAGCAGGUAGGAAGGGUAAUAUCAUUCCACUUACAGUAUGGAAUGAUUGGCCCAUUAUUAAAGCAGCUUUAGAACCAUUUCAAACAGAAGAAGAUAGCGUUUCAGUUUCUGAUGCCCCUGGAAGCUGUAUAAUAGAUUGUAAUGAAAA
rnacentral:antisense_RNA from 1 species